AGGACAACGAUUCUUUUAUCACAUUGUGUCUAGCGGGCGAACGCAAUACCCUAGGACAACGAUUCUUUUAUCACAUUAUGUCUAGCGGGCGAACGGAAUAUUCUAGGACAACGAUUCUUUUAUCACAUUGUAAGUAUUGAAUUUGUUUAUCAUUUUCAUAAAUAAUUUGUGUGAUUAGCACCCGGGAAACCUGCAAAAAGAUAAUUUUUGUGCUUCGAAGUACUGGUUUUUGGUAGUUUUAGACGUCUAACGGGAGAACUAAAUGUCCUAGGACAACGAUUUUUUCAUCAGAUUGUAAGUAUUGAAUUUGUAUAUAAUUUUCGUAAAUAAUUGUCUUUAAUCUAAAGUGAAUUAAAUGUUAAAUAUUAGCAAUGCAGAUGCAGAUUUCUGUAAUUUCAAAGUUUCAUAACUUGAUUAUGCGCUAGUGGCAGCUAUCUAUUUUGUUUGGUUCCGCUACGGACAGAUGACGCUUCCAUCGAUUUGGUUUAAAUUCAUACUUAAAUUUUGUGGUUGUUUCUUGUGCGCUGAGUUGCGGUGCGUACGUCACUUUUAUACACAGCUUUUAUGUUUAACAAUAUCUUGCUACAUGGUUGUUAUUGCAUUUCUGCCGUAUGCAUAUAGAAAAAUGCCCCUCCAUUUGCGGGUUGGUUAUCAAUCUGUCUUGCUUAGUUCGGCUUAGUCGGUUGAGCGCUGUUGCGAGUGCGCUCGUGUUUUGUUCAUUAACUAAACAUGGUGAGACUUUCUCGCUAUUCUUGAUAUUUUGUUGCAUUACUUAAAUCGAUUGACGAUCAGGGGCACGAAUGAUAUAAGUGAUUUUUUUGCGGAGUGCGCGUGGCGUCUGUCGGAUAUGUUCCGGUGACUAUGGAUACUUACUGGAGUUAAAUGAAGUUAAAUUUAUGUGUUUGAUGUGAAUACAUUUAGAAUAUCUGCGUGGAAUGGAAAAGAAGUGUGUAUCAUCAAUAAUACAUACAAUUUGCGGGAACGUGUUUGUGCGCCUUAGUCCUUUAUUGAUAUAAGAACAAAGGAGUAAGUAACAUCAAAUAAAAUUUUACUUUUAUUUAACUUUUUAAAUCUUGCACCAUGUUAUUGUUUUAUAAUAAUUGAAAAAGAUUCAGUCAAUAAAGAUUUAGUUUUA